AUAAUAAGCUAUAAUGCUAAUCAAAUAUAUAAUUAUAUUGUAUAUAAUAACGCCGGAGUACAACUACAGUUUGUCUAUAAGGAAGGAUAUCGAAUUUGCUAAACAGUUUUUGAAAUACCACGGGAUAUCAGAUAAGAAUGUAUGUGUAAAAAAGUACAUAAAACAACUAUGCUCAAAUGAUCAAGAACAAGUAUGCAGCGCUCGGCUGUCGGGAAAGAAAAUGGAGUUCAAACAAUUUAAUAACCCAUGUUACAUGGAUUUUAAUAAUUUUUGCGAUUCUCAAGACAACAUAUGGGCUAUCAAAAAUCCUGGCCCCUGCGUAAUGAACGCCGAAAUGAGACGAUUCGCAAAAGAAAUUGAAAAAAUAGCGGAGACUUCGCCCAAAUCAAUACCAAA